UUCGACGGUGAUUCCGGAUGCGAA
rnacentral:siRNA from 1 species